AACCGGGGAGCAGAACAAUGGUUAUUCUGGAAGUACAUCAGUACGUUCAGGUAACAAAUCUUCUGCAUCCUUUGUUGAAAUCUGAAUGUAGCUAAUUUGUGAACAUUCUCUAAGACACACAGGGUUACAGUGAUAAACUGUCUCAGCUUGUUGGGGACUGAGAGAUUCUGGGACCAGAGAGGCUUUCAGAGUAAAAUUGUCAAAGUCCUGCAAAAACUAGGAUGUGUUGGUCCUCCUGCUAGGUCCAAGUUGUUAUUUUAAGCAGUCUCAUUCUGUCAUCCAGGCUGGAGUGCAGAGGCAUGAUCUUGGUUCACUGCAACCUCCACCUCCCAGGUUCAAGCUAUUCUCCUGCCUCAGCCUCCUGAGUAGCUGGACCACGGCUGGCUAAUUUUUGUAUUUUUAUUGGAGACAGGGUUUCACCAUGUUGGCCAGGCUGGUCUCAAAAUUCUGACCUCAAGUGAUCUGCCCGCCUUGGCUUCCCAAAGUGCUGGGAUUAUAGGCGUGACAUGUCAGUUGAUUUCUCACGUCUUGCCAAAUGGCAACAAUAAGUUGAUACUCACCCCUCAUUUUCUGUCAUUUGACUUUUUCUGAAAUCUGGUGUCUGCUCCUACAAACACAGAGAAAUUAACCCUGGAUUUUCAAGGUGGACAGGAUUGCUAAUUGUCAAAUCCAGUGACCUUCUCUUAGAACUUGCCCUCUCUCUAGCAUUGAACACAGCUGAAUACAUCUCUUUUUUGAACUCUCUUCAUUUGAUUUCUAGAGCUGUGAAAUUUUCUUACUCUUCUUUCUAACCAUGUCUCUUUCUCCAUUGCUUGAAUUUCCACCGGCGGGCAUGCCUGUUCUUUCUCUGCAGUUAUUCCUAUAGACGCUGCUGGUAAUCUGCCUAUUGCCCCUCAGUCCUGAAUUUUAUGCUCUGCUUUAUGCUGCCAAGACUGGGAGUUAGCAAAUUCUUACUUCCUUGGGUUCACUCGCCAGCUGGUUUGCCAUUUGGCUCUGUCAGUAGAGGCACCUGGGGAAGGUCAGAAGGCAGGAGAAACUAGAAACCUCCUUCUCCUGACUCCAGCAGUGUUGGCAGUCACUCACAGGGACAGGUAGUUGCCAUGGCACAACAGAAUGUAGGGGAUUCUAGUCUCCAGAAGCCUAGGCAGGGGCGUGUCUUCCCAGAAGCUCCAGCCCUUGUCAAUGUUUAUGUCCAUGCUGCAGAUAUAAAGGAUGAAGUUGUAGGGCAGGAAGUCUUAUGUAACUUGGAGCAGCUACUCAAUGGAAAUCACAAACAGAAUGAGUUUCAUCCACAUGUCAAGACACUACUACCAACAGAGCUAUUUCAGGACACCUACCUAAAUAACUAGCUGUCUCUUCCACUUAAAGCAAGAUGUCAAGUUGAAAGGAUGAACUGGAAUCUUUGAUGAUCAAACUGAUGGAACAGAUGAUCAGUUCUCAUCCUCCAAAGUUGUGACUGUAGAUGGUGUAGGAGACUGAGCUGAAAAUGUAUUGCACCCAGUAGUUUAAAUUCUGAGCUCUUGAGAGAAGAGACUGGGUGCAUUUUGUUCAAUCUUCUAUCCUGGAUGCCUACUAGAUAUCUAGCAUGAAGUAAGC
rnacentral:lncRNA from 1 species